CGACCGUCUUGUGCGUCAAGUGAAGCGAACUGAUCAAUCUGGGGUGCCGGCUUCCGGUUGCAGACCCGCUGUUCAACCCUGCCGUCAGGGACCAUGGCUCCCUUCCGUUCGUCGACACUCCCUGUGAGAGGCUGGAACGAACCGGUUCUGCAGAUUACUAUCAUCAUCGACGUCGAUCUAUGCCAGUGCAACAGAGGCGCAAGUGUGUGACCAAAGUUUGGAAGAUGUAUUUAAUAAUUUUCACUCGAGCGAACUUACCCUCCCGAAAAGAUAACAUCUGAGAUCCGAAAACUUGCUGGAAUUAUAGCUGAUCAUAAGUUUUGACAACAGCAGCUGCUGUGGCGCGGAAGUUGAAUGAAUAAUCAAGGUUCUUCGUUGUUUUUGUUUCGAAUAUGACGUAGUGCGGCUUAUGGCAGCUGAUGU